GCGGCCAUAGCUUAGUCUGGUUCAAAGCGCCUGAUUGUCGAUCAGGAGAUCAGGGGUUCAAAUCCCCUUGGCCGCG
rnacentral:tRNA from 3 species